UAGAAGGGCUUUUCCGCCGGAAGGAGAGUGGAUUUACUAGAAAGGUGGGACAUUGGAGGGGCGGUAGCGUGGAGUUAAGUCCGGUCUCUGACCACCCAGCGGAGCCGGUGACAGCAGCGUCCUGCGCCACCAGCGAUCUGGGCCUCGUUCAUUGCGCUUACAUUUCUCCACCUCAUUUGAAGAACGAGCUUGGUAGCCGACGGAGCUGAGGUAUAUGAGCUCCCUGAAAGCACGAAGCAGUUAUUUCCAUCUUCAGAUCAUUCAGAGAUUAUGAAGGCACAAACCCUGCCUUCAGUUUGCUUAUAGUCAAGUGGAGCAGACACAAGUCAAUGAUUGCAGUAUAGCUACUUAAGUAAUCUAAAAGAGGUGGGGAGGCCACAGCUUAUGUGAAUUGACUUUCUCAGGAGUUAUAAAGUGAUACAGACUUAUCAGCAUGUUGCAGGUGAACAUGGCCUUGAGGUAAAUCCUGUCCCUUGUUGAAUACAGUUUCAGUAGAUUGUUUAUAGUAGUUUAAGGAAUUGGAAUUUUUUUACAAAAACACAGAAGUUUUGUUUGGUUCUGUUCUAGAUGUUUUUCUUCUAAAUAAAUGAGAAAGAUGUUUUAACAAAGGCUCUUUAUGCUGAAUAAUUGUGAUGCUUGAAGUUCCUAAUCUGCUUUAAGUGGAUUUGUCUGACAUUUGGUGUAAAUGUCAGACAAUUCUAGACAGUUUUUUCUUGGUCAAAUAAAAAUUUAAUUAAAACUUUA